rnacentral:rRNA from 1 species
ACGCUAAAGCUUCCGUCCCGCCGCCCCCGCUCCGAGAGCUCCAAGUUAUGGCUCAGGAUGAACGCUGGCGGCGUGCUUAACACAUGCAAGUCGAACGAUGACCCGGUGCUUGCAUCGGUGAUUAGUGGCGAACGGGUGAGUAACACGUGAGUAACCUGCCCUUAACUCUGGGGUAAGCCUGGGAAACUGGGUCUAAUACCGGAUAUGACUCCUCAUCGCAUGGUGGGGGGUGGAAAAGCUUUUUUGUGGUUUUGGAUGGACUCGCGGCCUAUCAGCUUGUUGGUGAGGUAAUGGCUUACCAAGGCGACGACGGGUAGCCGGCCUGAGAGGGUGACCGGCCACACUGGGACUGAGACACGGCCCAGACUCCUACGGGAGGCAGCAGUGGGGAAUAUUACACAAUGGGCGGAAGCCUGAUGCAGCGACGCCGCGUGAGGGAUGACGGCCUUCGGGUUGUAAACCUCUUUCAGUAGGGAAGAAGCGUAAGUGACGGUACCUGCAGAAGAAGCGCCGGCUAACUACGUGCCAGCAGCCGCGGUAAUACGUAGGGCGCAAGCGUUAUCCGGAAUUUAUUGGGCGUAAAGAGCUCGUAGGCGGUUUGUCGCGUCUGCCGUGAAAGUCCGGGGCUCAACUCCGGAUCUGCGGUGGGUACGGGCAGACUAGAGUGAUGUAGGGGAGACUGGAAUUCCUGGUGUAGCGGUGAAAUGCGCAGAUAUCAGGAGGAACACCGAUGGCGAAGGCAGGUCUCUGGGCAUUAACUGACGCUGAGGAGCGAAAGCAUGGGGAGCGAACAGGAUUAGAUACCCUGGUAGUCCAUGCCGUAAACGUUGGGCACUAGGUGUGGGGGACAUUCCACGUUUUCCGCGCCGUAGCUAACGCAUUAACGACCCGCCUGGGGAGUACGCCCGCAAGGCAAGAACUCAGGAGGAAUGACGG